rnacentral:tRNA from 1 species
GUAAGUAUAGCUCAGUGGUAGAGCGCAUGCUUAGCAUGCACGAGGUCCAGGGUUCAAUCCCAGUUACCUCCA